UGCGUAGGCGGGCUAAUAAGUUAGUGGUGAAAUCUUUCGGCUCAACCGAGAAACUGCCAUUGAUACUGUUAGUCUUGAGUUCGGUUGAGGUAGGCGGAAUGUGUAAUGUAGCGGUGAAAUGCUUAGAUAUUACACAGAACACCAAUUGCGUAGGCAGCUUACUAGACCGACACUGACGCUGAGGCACGAAAGCGUGGGGAGCGAACAGGAUUAGAUACCCUGGUAGUC
rnacentral:rRNA from 1 species